rnacentral:lncRNA from 1 species
AUGUGGCAAUUCAUUAGAUGAUACAAACCUCAUGCUUUCUAAUAAUGGUAGGAAUAUUUUUAUUUCCCAUUUUACCUGUCUGCCUACCUAACUUAAAGAUUUGUAUGACCAAAGAAAUAAAUGAGUAUUUCCCCAUCUUCCUUGGGAAAUUUUAGUUAAAACUAUUAUUGAGAAUUUACAGAUUUGGCGUAUUAUUUUUAGAUGCAUAAUAUUAAUGUCCCAAUCACUACAGGUCAACAUUUAGAUGUGUUACACAGAGUUUUUUUGACAUAGUAUGCUGAAUAUAAUGGGCUGGCUUUUUCUAAACUGUAAUUGCCUGAUAUAGGGUAAUAUGACACAGGGCUGGUAUGACACUCAAUAUGAAAGACAGGAUGCAGUAAAGAUUUGCCUUCAGUGUUUAUACAGAAAACUCAUUUAUUCUUUCUUGAUUAUAUUUUAUAGGGCUAGAA